ensembl:snRNA U6 U6 spliceosomal RNA
AUGCUUCAGCAGUAUGUAUACACAAAUUACAAUACAGAGAUUAACAUGGCAUUUGCACAAGGAUGAUAUGAAAGUUUGUGAAGUAUUCUAUGUUUCU